rnacentral:rRNA from 1 species
CGGCAUACUCGUGCCAGCAGCCGCGGUAUCGUAGGGCGCAAGCGUUAUCCGGAAUUAUUGGGCGUAAAGAGCUCGUAGGCGGUUUGUCGCGUCUGCUGUGAAACCCCGAGGCUCAACCUCGGGCCUGCAGUGGGUACGGGCAGACUAGAGUGCGGUAGGGGAGAUUGGAACUCCUGGUGUAGCGGUGGAAUGCGCAGAUAUCAGGAGGAACACCGAUGGCGAAGGCAGAUCUCUGGGCCGUAACUGACGCUGAGGAGCGAAAGGGUGGGGAGCAAACAGGAUUAGAUACCCUGGUAGUCCAAGGGCGAA